GUUUAUAUAAUUUAUAUAGAAUAUUGCACUGAAGCUGCAAAGGAGAAUAAUUGUUACGUCUGUAAACG
rnacentral:tRNA from 1 species